rnacentral:lncRNA from 1 species
GCAAGAAGCUAAGGAAUUCAUUUGGCGAUCAAAAGACAAAUUGACAUGUGGCUGUUGUAUAUGUUAGUAGUUGAUAAGCAAAGGGUUGCAUCUAGGUUGUGUGUCAACUUAGUUUCAUGUUUAUCGAGUUAAAGGCUGUCAGAAUUGUUAAUCCUUCUAUCGGUUCUAAUAAUGAUGUGUCAUUACCCUGUGUCAGGAUGGGUAAAUAUCCGUAAGUAAGGAUAAUUUAGUAGGUUGAACAAAAGAAGAUGAAUCGUUCAAAGGCAGUGGUAAAAAGAUCUUGGUUUACCCUUUGAUUCAAUUCGGUUGAAGCCAAUUGGCAAGUUAUCCCUUCGUCUAGUUGAACGAGUUCCGUUAUUAGUCAAGUUCAAAAGUUCGAUUGAAGUGGGUUUAAAGGAUUGUUCAAGUGCUACUUGAAAGGCGUUUGAGGGCCUCUUGAAGUCCUGUCAGAAGAGUCAUGUAGUUUGUGACUACCAAUUGAAUCCAGAUGAAGAGGCGUUUUUUUCCCAAGGCGAAACGUGUGUCGCUCAAGCUCUUCAAGAUGAAGUGACGUUGUGACUACAAGGAGACAUGAUGUUAGUACCAGUAAUGAUAUUGCAACCAAGGAUGACAAUGGUAGUGUGUCUACUGAAGAUGUCAAUGGAGGUCAUGUGUUUGCCGAAGAUGGAGCGGCAGAUCAAGGCAAAAUGAGUCAAGACUGAGAGGGACACUUAUGGAAGUUGAUGUUGAGAGGGAGUGAUAAAAUUACAAUAUCAACUAGGGAGGUUCGGCUGAUCUCAAAGGUUGGUUUGGUGGAGAUCUAAAGUCGAAGGACUAAACAAGUAAAAUAGUAAUUAAAUGUAUUUAAUUAUUAUUUGAAUUAUCUGUUAGUAUUGUUUAGUAUUUGAGUUAGAGAAGAAAUAGAAUUCCUAUUAGUCUAGGAUGUUUACAAUAUUGAGUCCUUGUAAUCAAGUUUAUUCAUUCACAAA